CAUCUAGUUACGACAAAAAAUAUACCUUAAACUAAAAGUAAAAAGUAAAAUUUUUAAUUACGAUUCGAUUGGAAAACAAGUUUCACAUAGGUUGACGAGCCGAUAUAUCAGUUGUCUCCCCGCCUACCCGUCCUGUUCUGUGAAAUUCGUUUUCCCGCGAGUUAAGGAAAACUCCUGCUCACUAGAACGAUAUAUCGCAUCUUCUGGCAAGAACCGCCCUGUCCAGCAAAGUACAGGAAAACGCACGGCAGACGGAUGCGAAACAUCACAUCUCACUUGUCAGCAGAUACCGGCCACCAUAAUUCCACCUGUCUCCCAAAAUCUUCGGACCAUAUUCAUGGAAUAAUUUCAGCCCCAGUUCUUCUCUCUCAAGUCAAACAAAUAAAAAUUUUCUCGAAUUAUUGUUUUCUUAACUUAAUUGUUUUCAGAAGUAUUGUUUCGAAAUUCUGUUUUAAUCUCAAAAUUUAAUACUAAAUAUAUAUAUAUACAGUAGAAUCGGUUGAUAAAAAUUAUGUACAAGUGAGACUAACGUUAAAACG
rnacentral:lncRNA from 1 species